UGGGCCCGUGGGUUAGCUUGGCUAUACUAGGCGGCUGGGGGCCGUCUGACCCCAGUUCAAAUCUGGGCGGGCCCAUC
rnacentral:tRNA from 1 species